rnacentral:rRNA from 1 species
GAUAAACGCUGGCGGCGUGCCUAACACAUGCAAGUCGAACGAUCCCGCAAGGGAGAGUGGCGGAAGGGUGAGUAACACGUGGGAAUCUACCUCCUCGCAGGGAACAACCUCUCGAAAGAGAGGCUAAUACCCAAAAGGGUCAGAAAUGAUCAGAGUCGAAAGGCGUGAGGAGAGGAGCCCGCGGCCCAUCAGCUAGUUGGUGAGGUAAUGGCUUACCAAGGCUACGACGGGUAGGGGAUCUGAGAGGAUGUCCCCCACACUGGAACUGAAACACGGUCCAGACGCCUACGGGUGGCAGCAGUGAGGAAUAUUGGACAAUGGGCGAAAGCCCGAUCCAGCAACGCCGCGUGGAGGAUGAAGGCCCUUCGGGUCGGUAAACUUCUUUAGAGGGAGACGAGAAAGGACGGUAUCCCUA